rnacentral:rRNA from 1 species
GAUGAACGCUAGCGGCAGGCCUAACACAUGCAAGUCGAGGGGUAUAGGGAGCUUGCUUCCUAGAGACCGGCGCACGGGUGCGUAACGCGUAUGCAAUCUACCUUGUACAGGGGAAUAGCCCAGAGAAAUUUGGAUUAAUGCCCCAUAGUAUUAUUAAAUGGCAUCCUUUAAUAAUUAAAGUUCCAACGGUACAAGAUGAGCAUACGUCCUAUUAGUUAGUUGGUGUGGUAACGGCAUACCAAGACGAUGAUAGGUAGGGGUCCUGAGAGGGAGAUCCCCCACACUGGUACUGAGACACGGACCAGACUCCUACGGGAGGCAGCAGUGAGGAAUAUUGGACAAUGGGCGCAAGCCUGAUCCAGCCAUGCCGCGUGCAGGAAGACGGUCCUAUGGAUUGUAAACUGCUUUUAUACAGGAAGAAACACUGGUUCGUGAACCAGCUUGACGGUACUGUAAGAAUAAGGAUCGGCUAACUCCGUGCCAGCAGCCGCGGUAAACUCG